GGCCGACUAGCUCAGCUGGUUAGAGCGUGGUGCUAAUAUAUUCGAUUACGCCAAGGUCGUCGGUUCGAUCCCGGCGUUGGCCA